rnacentral:rRNA from 1 species
GGCUCAGAUUGAACGCUGGCGGCAGGCCUAACACAUGCAAGUCGAGCGGGGUUUUCGGACCUAGCGGCGGACGGGUGAGUAAUGCGUAGGAAGCUACCCGAUAGAGGGGGAUACCAGUUGGAAACGACUGUUAAUACCGCAUAAUGUCUACGGACCAAAGUGUGGGGACCUUCGGGCCACAUGCUAUCGGAUGCGCCUACGUGGGAUUAGCUAGUUGGUGAGGUAAUGGCUCACCAAGGCGACGAUCUCUAGCUGGUUUGAGAGGAUGAUCAGCCACACUGGAACUGAGACACGGUCCAGACUCCUACGGGAGGCAGCAGUGGGGAAUAUUGGACAAUGGGCGCAAGCCUGAUCCAGCCAUGCCGCGUGUGUGAAGAAGGCCUUAGGGUUGUAAAGCACUUUCAGCGAGGAGGAAGGGGUGAGUGUUAAUAGUACUCAUCUUUGACGUUACUCGCAGAAGAAGCACCGGCUAACUCUGUG